AGGUGCCGCGUCCCUCCAUUUCCCCAUCUCCUGCGGGCCCCUCCCAGGGCGGGCUCCAGGCCUGUCCCGUGCGCCUGCGCACGAGCCUCGAGGUGGGCGGGGUUCCAGCGCGCAGCCGGCCGCCCUCAACCGCUCGCUCCCAGCAUCAGUUGCCGGUGGUUCGGGGCAGGGAGAGGGCGCAGCGCGAGCAGAAGGGGCGGUUACCCAACGGCCUUCGGUCUCAUGGCGUCCUCCGUGGUGUUACCUAAAAAUAAAGUUAUUAGUGAUUAGAAGGUAAUCGCCUCCUGGUCAUGCUUCCACUGGUCACCAGUGUCUGCGGAGCGACCCCAUCCUUGUGGCCAGGGCAGGCCUGUGGCUGCGCUCAAGGCGGGAGCGUUCCUUAGCGGGGGCUCUGCGGGACGCCCAGGCCCUGCUCCUUUCCCAUGCUCGCCUGGCCUUGAAGUGAAGGGGGAAAUUUAGCAAUGCAGUGGGAACCCCAAAGUUUGUCUCGGCGGUGCCGCUCACAUUCCAAACAAUGCAAAAGUUUGAGGAACACCUCAGCAGUUGAAACGUGUUGCAGUUCAGCAAAGACGUAGCUCCUGUCCUCGUAAAAUCAGUGAAGUUCUCCCGGACGACCUCAUUUGAGUAUGUGAUAUGGUUAUUCGUUAGUACUUGGCGAUGUGAGAGACACUCCCCUUGUUUACAAAGUGGUGCCCAGGUGGUUUGUGCAAGUGGAGAACAUGGUGGACCAGCUCCUAAGGAACAAUGACCUGUGCUACCGGUGAGCACUAAGAUGUGUUUCUUCAUAAUGUCUUUUGUCAUGUGGUUAGUGUGGCUAACACUUCCCCCAAGUUAUAAUUUUAAUAGCCGUCUUUUAUUGUGUAUUAUAAUACACCAUGUUGGCCAGGCUGGUCUCGAGCUCCUGAUCUCAAGUGAUCCGCCUGCUUCAGACUCCCAAAGUGCUGGGAUUACAGGUGUGAGCCACUGUGCCUGGCCUUCUUUAGGUAAUUUGAAACAGUUUAUAACAAAAAUUUUAAAAUAGACUACAACGAAGUAGAAGACAGACCACCACAUAGAAAGUAGAAUGAAGUUAAAAUUCUGGGCUAAUAUAAUUAUGCUGGCUAAACAUCACUAGAAGCGGCAAGUUAUAACAGAGAAUGUAGAUUUUGAAGUCAAACACAUUUGUUCACCCCUUCCUUACUGUAUAAUGUUGAACAAGUUGCUUAAUUUCUGAGAUGUAACAUCCUCCUCCACAAAAUGAUGUAACAAUUAUGUUGUAGAGUGUUGUGAGAAUUAAAUAAAAUGACAUUAUGUGUA